AUACGGAGGAUCCGAGCGUUAUCCGGAUUUAUUGGGUUUAAAGGGCGCGCAGGCAGCCAUUUAAGUCAGCGGUUAAAUCGUGGGGCUCAACCCCAUUCUGCCGUUGAUACUGGGUGGCUUGAUUGCGGUCGAGGUUGGCGGAAUUCGUUGUGUAGCGGGUAAAUGCAUAGAUAUGACGAAGAACACCGAUUGCGUAGGCAGCUGACCAGACCGCAAAUGACGCUCAUGCACGAAAGUGCGGGGAUCGAACAGGAUUAGAUACCCUGGUAGUCCGCACAGUAAACGAUGAAUACUUGUUUUCGGCGAUAUAAUGUCGGAGGCAAAGCGAAAGCGAUAAGUAUUCCACCUGGGGAGUACGCCGGCAACGGUGAAACUCAAAUGAAUUGGCGGGG
rnacentral:rRNA from 1 species